UUAAAUUGAAGAGUUUGAUCAUGGCUCAGAUUGAACGCUGGUGGCAGGCCUAACACAUGCAAGUCGAACGGUAACAGGAAGCAGCUUGCUGCUUUGCUGACGAGUG
rnacentral:rRNA from 1 species